CUACGGGGGGCACCAGUGGGGAAUAUUGCACAAUGGGCGCAAGCCUGAUGCAGCCAUGCCGCGUGUAUGAAGAAGGCCUUCGGGUUGUAAAGUACUUUCAGCGGGGAGGAAGGGAGUAAAGUUAAUACCUUUGCUCAUUGACGUUACCCGCAGAAGAAGCACCGGCUAAGUCCGUGCCAGCAGCCGCGGUAAUACGGAGGGUGCAAGCGUUAAUCGGAAUUACUGGGCGUAAAGCGCACGCAGGCGGUUUGUUAAGUCAGAUGUGAAAUCCCCGGGCUCAACCUGGGAACUGCACCUGAUACUGGCAAGCUUGAGUCUCGUAGAGGGGGGUAGAAUUCCAGGUGUAGCGGUGAAAUGCGUAGAGAUCUGGAGGAAUACCGGUGGCGAAGGCGGCCCCCUGGACGAAGACUGACGCUCAGGUGCGAAAGCGUGGGGAGCAAACAGGAUUAGAUACCCGGGUAGUC
rnacentral:rRNA from 1 species